rnacentral:lncRNA from 1 species
ACUCCACAUUGUUUUUCAUAUGCUCUUUUUGCUAGGACGGUUGUGAGCGUAGCAGUUCUUAUGUCUCUCCUGGUGUUCCUUGAGUCUGUCUUUUAAUCUUCUGGUAGUGGCCCCUACAUAGAGUUCGUCCAUUCCUUCACCUAGGUUAUAUAACGGUAUCUGGUACACACCUGUCCUUUUGUUGCCCGACCUGGGAUCUUUCUCGUUCCUUAAGGCAUUGAAUAUGGUUGGUGGUCUUUUAUAUGUGCUUUUCUUUUUUGUCUUCUUGAUAAGAUUCCUUACUGUGCUAAAUUCACCUGGGGGUUCAGGAAUGGGUGUGUGGCGCUCCAGCUGUUCGUUCUGCGUUGCGUGUUCCGGGCGGGCUGGUUCCUGGUGGGUAGUGGUGGGCUUGGUUCGCUGUUUUUUGGUCACUUUGCUCAGGAGCUUGUCUGUGAUGUGAGGGCUGUGUCCGUGGUCUUGAGCUGUCUUCUUUGUGUUACUUAUUUCAUUCCUGAGUCCUCUGUUUCGGAGCGGUGGGUGGUGGCCGUGGUUGUUGGCGACCUUAGGGCAGAUUUUUUUGUACCUCCAUCUAUCAUAUCUAUCAUGUUGUUAAGGGACCUGGAAACAACAGUACUGAACACAACAAUAAGGCAGGCAGUACUUUAUUUGAGAUACGUAAUGACAUUUUCGUCAUAUGGCCCCAAGAUACUCAGAUUCAUUUGCUUCAGAAGCAGUACUCCCUACCCAGCCAUGGAUUGAAGCUAAAUAUUGAUCAACACAAAGAUAAUUGAGUCCACUUCCUUGAUGUAGAUCUACAGGUUAAGGGAACUAACUUUGUCACAAGAGUGUACAGAAAACUGAUAACUACAACCAUACUAAUACAUAAUUGGUCGGAUGAUAGAUGGAGGUACAGGGGGUCUGCCCUAAGGUCGCUGGUGGCCAGGGCCGCCACCCAUUGCUCUGAAACUGAGGACUUUGGAAAUGAAAUAAGUAACAUGGGGAGGAUGGCUCAGGACCAUGGAUGCAGCCCUCACAUUAUAGAUGGGCUCCUGAGUGAAGUGACUGGGGAGCAGCGGACUGGGCUUGCCGCUGCCCACCGGGGGCCGGCCCGACUGGAACGGGCAGUGCGGAACGAGCAGCUGGAGCGCUGUGCACCCAUUCCUGAACCCCUGACUGAGUUUGGCACAGUGGGGAAUCUUGUCAAGAAGACGGGGGGGAAAAGUGCAUAUAAAAGAC